GUUUUUGUAGCUGAGUGGUGAUCCAAAUCCCAGUUUCCUGGAAUCAAAGUACCACACUCAAAUUGUGGAGACCUGGGUUCAAAUCCCAGUUCAGCCA